rnacentral:lncRNA from 1 species
UAAACAUUUUAGCAAUUUCUUCUUUCCUGCCUGCUGAAGACUGACUUCCUCCUGCUGCCAAAGUUCUAGAGUCUGGACGUCUGAGAUCAGGGUGCCAGCACUGUCGAGGUCACAGACUGCAGACCUCCUUGUAUCUUCAAAUGGAGGAAAGAGGACAAGAGAGCUCCUGUGGUCCCUUUUAUCAAGAUGAAUGCACAAGGAAAAUGUUGUACAUUUGCACAUUGGAGUACACUUCAGCCAUAAAAAGAAUGAGAUGCUGUCAUUUGCAACAACAGAUCAAAAUAUAUCAUAACCAUGGGACAUUAGAAAAGCACAAUCUUCUAUUGAAAGCAAAACCAAUUACACAGAAACUAGAAAGAAUAAAAUAACAGUAGACAUUUAUUUCUAUGCCUGUUUUUGCUCUUUAACUUUAUGUUUCUUUUCAAAGUCACUCCAAUUGAUGGUGACUUUCUACUUGUAAACAGUGAAAUACAAUUUGUUUUUAAUUUAGCACAUUUAAAAAAAUGAACAAAAAAAUCUUAUUGUUGCCAAAUGCAAAAUAAAAUAAACAUCCAUAGACUGUUUGUAGGUGAUAUGGUAACAUGAAUGUGAUUUUAAAAUAUUUUUUCUUUCAAUUAACAAGUAACAAAUGCAGAGAAGUAAGCAGUUAACAAAGCCAUGCACAUUAUAAUUUUAACUUAGUAAAAAUGUGCUUGUUAAAGUAAUUGCUUAAAAUACAUGACAUGAGAUACUUAGAUUGACUUUGAACUGAUCUUGUAUUAUACAGAAAACAUAAAGUUUCCUCUUCAUGUUUCAUAUAGAGUUGUGCAGUCAUCAGUUAUCUUCAUGGGACGAGUAUGUCCGGAGGGGAGGAAAAUCUGAUAAAAAAUAUUGAAAUUCAAUGAAGGCUUCCACUGCUUAACAAAUGUUACAUAGAAUUCUUCACCGAUGUGAGGAACAUCAGUUUGCAAAAGAAACUCUGCACUUUCAGGGAUAAAAAGACUGAGACUCCAAAUGGUGCUCCUAGUAUUGGUGAAGCUUAGGGAGAGAGCCCAUUGUGUUUCUAUCUAACUGCUCUCAGGAAAAGGUAGAAAAUGUCUCAGAUUCCACAAGAAAGAUAGAAUGUGUGAUAAGAUGACAAUCAGGCCACAACAGAAUAUCCUAGUAGGGUACAUAAAUUAGCAUCAACAUGGACCAAUUAGCAAGGAAGUGUCUUCAUAAUAUUCCCGUAAUUAGACUCUCAUUAGCUUGAUAUUUGAUGCUGGACUAACCCUAUUUGAAUGAUAUAAGCACUGGUACUUAGAAUUUUCAGAGACUGGUGCCCCUAAUGGAAAAAUGCAGGAUGAAAUGCUAGUGAAGAUUAACUGGGAGAAAAAUAGGUAAAUGUGAAAAAGAAAACGUGUGUCUGACUGUAUACAGAGUUCUAAUUGUAAAAAAUUAAUCGAAUGUAUAAAAUAUCGACAGCCCAAAUAAAUGUUAUUUUCCUGAAGUACUUAAUUAUCUCCAUGUGUUU